GCCGGGAGCAGUGGCUCACGCCUGUAAUCCAAGUACUUUGGGAGGCUGAGGCAGGUGGAUCGCUUGAGGUCAGGAGUUCAAGACCAGCCUGGACAACAUGGUGAAACCCUGUCUCUACUAAAAAUACAAAAAUUAGCUGGGUGUGGUGGCAUGCACCUGUAAUCUCAGUUACUUGGGAGGCUGAGGCAGGAGAAUGGCUUGCACCCAGGAGGAGGAGGAGGUUGCAUCAUAGCACUCUAGCCUGGGCAACAGAGCGAGACUCUGUCUCA
rnacentral:sRNA from 1 species